GGGUUUUGAUGGUGGAGAUUUAUGAGGGUUUCGUGGUGGUAGAUCGGAGAGAAAAAGGGUCGCUCGCCGGAGAGAGAUGAAAAUGAAUGAGCUUUUUUAAUUUCUUUUCUUUUCGUGAGUGAAAGGGUGAGGGAGCAAAGUGGUUUUUACGGUGGGUUUGAGCGUGAGGUGGAUGGUGUGAGCGGUGGUGGAAAGAGAGCGACGUGAGGUUGUUUGAAGUUUGUGGGAAAGAAGAAGAAGUUUUUUUUAUUAAUUCUUCUCUUUUCUUUCAGAGUGUGUAGUUGAAUAGUGAGAGAAGAGAGGUAGUAAUUUUGUUGAGAGAAACGUGUGUGAGCCGUGUGGAGAUAGAAGAGGGACUUUUGAGGUGAUUCUCAGCAGAGAGAAAUGAAUAGAAUAGUGAGGUGAGUGCCUUUAAUGAGAGAGGAAACGUGUAAGGAGUGGAAACGUGUGGGAGAUAGGAAACGUGAGGGAGAGUGAUGA
rnacentral:lncRNA from 1 species